rnacentral:rRNA from 1 species
UACGUAGGGUGCAAGCGUUGUCCGGAAUUAUUGGGCGUAAAGAGCUCGUAGGCGGCUUGUCGCGUCGGCUGUGAAAACCUGGGGCUCAACCCCGGGCCUGCAGCCGAUACGGGCAAGCUAGAAUUCGGUAGGGGAGACUGGAAUUCCUGGUGUAGCGGUGAAAUGCGCAGAUAUCAGGAGGAACACCGGUGGCGAAGGCGGUUCUCUGGGCCGUACCUGACGCUGAGGAGCGAAAGCGUGGGGAGCGAACAGG